GGAGGCUGUGGAGCUGGAGGCUGGGUGAUAGGUAGGGUGCGGUGGUGGGCGGGAAUGAUUGGGAGGAAAGAGCUUGUAGGCGGUUUGUCGCGUCUGCUGUGAAAAUCCGGGGCUCAACCCCGGACUUGCAGUGGGUACGGGCAGACUAGAGUGUGGUAGGGGAGACUGGAAUUCCUGGUGUAGCGGUGAAAUGCGCAGAUAUCAGGAGGAACACCGAUGGCGAAGGCAGGUCUCUGGGCCACUACUGACGCUGAGAAGCGAAAGCAUGGGGAGCGAACAGGAUUAGAUACCCUAGUAGUC
rnacentral:rRNA from 1 species